CGUAGGGUGCGAGCGUUAAUCGGAAUUACUGGGCGUAAAGCGUGCGCAGGCGGUUUGUUAAGAUAGGCGUGAAAUCCCCGGGCUCAACCUGGGAACUGCGCUUAUGACUGGCAAGCUAGAGUACGGCAGAGGGGGGUGGAAUUCCACGUGUAGCAGUGAAAUGCGUAGAGAUGUGGAGGAACACCAAUGGCGAAGGCAGCCCCCUGGGUCGAUACUGACGCUCAUGCACGAGAGCGUGGGUAGCAAACAGGAUUAGAUACCCUGGUAGUCCACGCCCUAAACGAUGUCAACUAGGUGUUGGGUGGGUAAAACCAUUUAGUACCGGAGCUAACGCGUGAAGUUGACCGCCUGGGGAGUACGGCCGCAAGGUUA
rnacentral:rRNA from 1 species